GCUGUGGCUCAAUGGCAGAAUACUUGCUUUGCAUGCAAAAAGGCUAGGUUCAAGCCCUAGCAUAACCA